UACGUAGGCAGCGAGCGUUGUUCGGAAUUACUGGGCGUAAAGAGUGUGUAGGCGGUUGUUCAAGUCAGGUGUGAAAGCCUUGAGCUCAACUCAAGAAAUGCACUUGAUACUGGAUGACUAGAGGACCGGAGAGGAUAGUGGAAUUCCCAGUGUAGUGGUGAAAUACGUAGAGAUUGGGAAGAACACCAGUGGCGAAGGCGGCUAUCUGGACGGUUUCUGACGCUAAGACGCGAAAGCGUGGGGAGCAAACAGG
rnacentral:rRNA from 1 species